GGCAGAAUAGUGCAUUGGAUUUAAACCCCAAAUAUAAAGAUUUCUUU
rnacentral:tRNA from 1 species